UGGUUUCAUCAAGUGCUGCAGGAAGCCUAUGUUCUUCGUUAAAUGCAGGAACUAUCAAAGAUAUAUACUUCUCUGCCGGGUCAUGGAUGUGGGGGCACGGAACCUUUUUCAACGAAUUCGGAUCCUCGAAGAUAGCAGGAGCAUCAACGUACUUAUUAUGGUGUCUUUGCUUGUAGGCUUCAACGAUGAUUGGACAGAGUAACAGCAAAGCUACCAACAGAGCUAGGGCUGCAAGAAGCGCUGCUAGAGUCCAUACAAACUCCAUUUGUUUCUGCUCUUGAUUCUAAUUAC
rnacentral:misc_RNA from 1 species